UACGUAGGGUGCGAGCGUUAAUCGGAAUUACUGGGCGUAAAGUGUGCGCAGGCCGCCGAGCAAGUCGAGUGUGAAAGCCCCGAGCUUAACUUGGGAACUGCGCUCGAAACUACUUGGCUAGAGUGUGGCAGAGGGAGGUGGAAUUCCACGUGUAGCGGUGAAAUGCGUAGAGAUGUGGAGGAACACCAGUGGCGAAGGCGGCUCACUGGACCGGUACUGACGCUGAGGCGCGAAAGCGUGGGGAGCAAACAGG
rnacentral:rRNA from 1 species